AUGUUAUAUGAAAGGACAGAAGGUUAGGACUCCCCUUGACAAGGAUGGAAGAGGCUCUUGGGCCUGCACAACACACAUUCAGUUAAAAAUGUUAUCAUUUACUCCUUUUUUUC
ensembl:snRNA